UACGGGGGGAGCAAGCGUUGUUCGGAUUUACUGGGCGUAAAGGGCGCGUAGGCGGCCUCUGCAAGUCGACUGUGAAAUCUCCGGGCUUAACCCGGAAAGGUCAAUCGAUACUGCAGGGCUAGAGUGCAGAAGGGGCAACUGGAAUUCUCGGUGUAGCGGUGAAAUGCGUAGAUAUCGAGAGGAACACCUGCGGCGAAGGCGGGUUGCUGGGCUGACACUGACGCUGGAAGCGCGAAAGCUAGGGAGCGAACGGG
rnacentral:rRNA from 1 species